GCCACCACAACCCAACUUUACCUCCCUGGAGACAGAGCUGACCAGUUCACCCAGUUAGACCUGGGCUAUGCCUCAGGUCUCUCUGCUUCUUCAGCCUUUAACCCAGUGUGGGCAGGGGAGAUGGAGUCCUUUUAACUAGUAGUUAACAAGCUAAUAUCAUGAAGGAAAAAUACACUGCCUGGCACAGGGAGCUUGUGAACAAGAGCACACCCCAACAGUCCACAAGGAGGUUUACCUUACCAUUUCUGAUGUGUGCUUCUGGUACUCCCAAGCAUCCUCAAGGCAAACACUGUGCACAUCAGACCAAAACCAUAGCAACAACACCCCCAGACGCUGCACAGGGGGAACCUUCUAAACAUUUUGAGCUGCCAGUGGCUUUGAACUUGGCUGUAACCUGAAGGAAGGAAUCCUUAAUGACAUGGAGACAAGAAGAAUAAACUGCAAGCCCAGGUUUAGUAAAUUGUGUGAGAUGAACCUGAUGCAUUUCUUCAAUGAGACAGUUCAUUCCCUAGACAUGAGAAGUGUGGUACAAUCUCAUUUAUCUGGGUAUCAAGGGGCACCACAACAUGACAUGGGCAAUUAUCAGCAGGGACCCCUGCAGAUAGAAACAAAGGAGGAGGAGGAGAAAUGCCUGGAUGCACUGGCUGGUCACAGUACAACUACGUGUUGUCGUUGGAUGACAGCUGGAGAAAAAGGAAAGGAGAUUCUUGGAACAGCUUAGAAAGGCUCCUCCAGUUGAAAUACAGAAUAAUCAAAUCCUGCUCAUGGCAGUGAGGUUUGAACUGUAUCAUCUCAAGGUCCUUUCCAACCCAAACUGUUCUAUGAUUCUAUGACUCUUUUGAUAGCGAAAGGCUGCAUAUGGUGGCCCACUACCUGACUUGCCAUCAGAGAAGCUCAAAAAGUCUCCAGCCCAUCCUCCUCAAAGCAAGGCCAGGGGCAUGGUUGCUCAGGGCUUUAUCCAGUUGAAUUCUGAGUAUCUCCUGGGAGUCCUCCAAGAACCACAAAGCUGGUGUAUAAAUAAUCACUGCUUGAAGCAGAAAUCCCACUGGACUGCGGUGUCCAGGAGGAAAGACC